rnacentral:rRNA from 1 species
CCUACGGGAGGCAGCAGUAGGGAAUCUUCGGCAAUGGGGGCAACCCUGACCGAGCAACGCCGCGUGAGUGAAGAAGGUUUUCGGAUCGUAAAGCUCUGUUGUAAGUCAAGAACGAGUGUGAGAGUGGAAAAUUCACACUGUGACGGUAGCUUACCAGAAAGGGACGGCUAACUACGUGCCAGCAGCCGCGGUAAUACGUAGGUCCCGAGCGUUGUCCGGAUUUAUUGGGCGUAAAGCGAGCGCAGGCGGUUUGAUAAGUCUGAAGUUAAAGGCUGUGGCUCAACCAUAGUUCGCUUUGGAAACUGUCAAACUUGAGUGCAGAAGGGGAGAGUGGAAUUCCAUGUGUAGCGGUGAAAUGCGUAGAUAUAUGGAGGAACACCGGUGGCGAAAGCGGCUCUCUGGUCUGUAACUGACGCUGAGGCUCGAAAGCGUGGGGAGCGAACAGGAUUAGAUACCCGAGUAGUC